UGGUUCCCCCCAAAAUUGCCUGCACAAGAGCAAUUCAAUGAACUUCAAAAUCAGAGAUAUCAAGGGGAAUCUGUGGGUUGUGGUAGGUACAGCAAAGAAGGCCGGUUUGGUAUGGUUUAUAAGUUUCUAGAAGCAGACACUUUGAACAGAGAACCUGACAUUAUUUAUGACCAAAACCCACGACUAAAGCUAACAGAUUUGAAAAUUGAAACCAUCAAAGUCUACAAAACCAACCAUCAACCACACCAAGAAAAA
rnacentral:misc_RNA from 1 species